UACGAAGGGGGCUAGCGUUGCUCGGAAUUACUGGGCGUAAAGGGCGCGUAGGCGGACAGCUAAGUUGGGGGUGAAAGCCCGGGGCUCAACCUCGGAAUUGCCUUCAAAACUGGCUGUCUUGAGUACGGGAGAGGUGUGUGGAACUCCGAGUGUAGAGGUGAAAUUCGUAGAUAUUCGGAAGAACACCAGUGGCGAAGGCGACACACUGGCCCGUUACUGACGCUGAGGCGCGAAAGCGUGGGGAGCAAACAGG
rnacentral:rRNA from 1 species